GACGAACGCUGGCGGCGUGCUUAACACAUGCAAGUCGAACGAGUGGCGAACGGGUGAGUAACACGUGGGUGAUCUGCCUUGCACUUCGGGAUAAGCUUGGGAAACUGGGUCUAAUACCGGAUAGUGCAAGAUGAGCUCGCGGCCUAUCAGCUUGUUGGUGGGGUAAUGGCUACCAAGGCGCGACGGGUAGCCGGCCUGAGAGGGUGUACGGCCACAGUGGGACUGAGAUACGGCACAGACUCCUACGGGAGGCAGCAGGGAGGAAUAUUGGUCAAUGGAGGAAACUCUGAACCAGCCAAGUCGCGUGAAGGAAGAUGUCCUAAGGAUUGUAAACUUCUUUAGCGAGCGAGUAAGUAGCUCGAGAAUAAGUAUCGGCUAACUCCGUGCCAGCCGCCGCGGUAAUAC
rnacentral:rRNA from 1 species